UACAGAGGUGGCAAGCGUUGUUCGGAAUUACUGGGCGUAAAGGGCGCGUAGGCGGCCUUCUAAGUCGAACGUGAAAGCCCCAGGCUUAACCUGGGAACUGCGUUUGAUACUGGAAGGCUUGGAUUCGGGAGAGGGAUGUGGAAUUCCAGGUGUAGCGGUGAAAUGCGUAGAUAUCUGGAGGAACACCGGUGGCGAAGGCGGCAUCCUGGACCGGUAUUGACGCUGAUGCGCGAAAGCCAGGGGAGCAAACGGG
rnacentral:rRNA from 1 species